rnacentral:rRNA from 1 species
UGGGGAAUAUUGCACAAUGGGCGCAAGCCUGAUGCAGCCAUGCCGCGUGUAUGAAGAAGGCCUUCGGGUUGUAAAGUACUUUCAGUCGGGAGGAAGGUGGUAAGGUUAAUAACCUUAUCAAUUGACGUUACCGACAGAAGAAACACCGGCUAACUCCGUGCCAGCAGCCGCGGUAAUACGGAGGGUGCAAGCGUUAAUCGGAAUUACUGGGCGUAAAGCGCACGCAGGCGGUUGAUUGAGUCAGAUGUGAAAUCCCCGGGCUCAACCUGGGAACUGCAUCUGAUACUGGCAAGCUUGAGUCUCGUAGAGGGGGGUAGAAUUCCAGGUGUAGCGGUGAAAUGCGUAGAGAUCUGGAGGAAUACCGGUGGCGAAGGCGGCCCCCUGGACGAAGACUGACGCUCAGGUGCGAAAGCGUGGGGAGCAAACAGG